UACGUCGGGUGCGAGCGUUAAUCGGAAUUACUGGGCGUAAAGCGUGCGCAAGCGGUUCGUUGUGUCUGCUGUGAAAUCCCCGGGCUCACCCUGGGCAUGGCAGUGGAAACUGGCGAGCUUGAGUGUGGCAGAGGGGGGUGGAAUUCCGCGUGUAGCAGUGAAAUGCGUAGAGAUGCGGAGGAACAACGAUGGCGAAGGCAACCCCCUGGGCUGACACUGACGCUCAGGCACGAAAGCGUGGGGAGCAAACAGG
rnacentral:rRNA from 1 species